AAGACUAUACUUCACAGGAUCAUUUCUGUAGUAAGUUAGUCUCCCUUCUGGUUCAAAACAGAAGUUGAUGCAACCACGAUGAGGAGGAACAGCUCCUUUCCUUGAGCGUGAGGAAGACUCGAGAAGUUGACUUUGUUCAAUUUCUCAGUCAUCGAUGAUCGUUCAUCUCCUGUACUCAGUAUGGGGGAGAUGGGAAUGGGGCUUUCUGAGUGGU